rnacentral:rRNA from 1 species
AGUAACGCAUCGGAACGUACCGAGUAGUGGGGGAUAACUGUCCGAAAGGAUGGCUAAUACCGCAUAUUCUCUGAGGAGGAAAGCAGGGGACCUUCGGGCCUUGCGCUAUUUGAGCGGCCGAUGUCUGAUUAGCUAGUUGGUGGGGUAAAGGCCUACCAAGGCGACGAUCAGUAGCGGGUCUGAGAGGAUGAUCCGCCACACUGGGACUGAGACACGGCCCAGACUCCUACGGGAGGCAGCAGUGGGGAAUUUUGGACAAUGGGGGGAACCCUGAUCCAGCCAUGCCGCGUGUCUGAAGAAGGCCUUCGGGUUGUAAAGGACUUUUGUCAGGGAAGAAAAGCUUGAGGUUAAUACCCUUGAGUGAUGACGGUACCUGAAGAAUAAGCACCGGCUAACUACGUGCCAGCAGCCGCGGUAAUACGUAGGGUGCGAGCGUUAAUCGGAAUUACUGGGCGUAAAGCGGGCGCAGACGGUUACUUAAGUCAGAUGUGAAAUCCCCGGGCUCAACCUGGGAACUGCGUUUGAAACUGGGUGACUAGAGUAUGUCAGAGGGGGGUAGAAUUCCACGUGUAACAGUGAAAUG